AGCGAAUGGAUUAAGAGCUUGCUCUUAUGAAGUUAGCGGCGGACGGGUGAGUAACACGUGGGUAACCUGCCCAUAAGACUGGGAUAACUCCGGGAAACCGGGGCUAAUACCGGAUAACAUUUUGAACCGCAUGGUUCGAAAUUGAAAGGCGGCUUCGGCUGUCACUUAUGGAUGGACCCGCGUCGCAUUAGCUAGUUGGUGAGGUAACGGCUCACCAAGGCGACGAUCGGUAGCUGGUCUGAGAGGAUGAUCAGCCACACUGGGACUUGAGACACGGCCCAGACUCCUACGGGAGGCAGCAGUAGGGAAUAUUGCACAAUGGACGAAAGUCUGAUGCAGCGACGCCGCGUGAGUGAUGAAGGCCUUCGGGUUGUAAAGCUCUGUUCUUAGGGAAUAAAAAAAUGAAGGUACCUAAGGAGAAAGGACCGGCUAACUUCGUGCCAGCAGCCGCGGUAAUACCAGGGGUCCAAGCGUUGCUCGGAAUCAUUUGGGCGU
rnacentral:rRNA from 1 species